rnacentral:rRNA from 1 species
UACAGAGGUCCCAAGCGUUGUUCGGAUUCACUGGGCGUAAAGGGUGCGUAGGCGGCCGGGUAAGUCUGAUGUGAAAUCCCGCAGCUUAACUGCGGAACUGCAUCGGAUACUCUCCGGCUAGAGGAAUGGAGGGGAGACUGGAAUUCUCGGUGUAGCAGUGAAAUGCGUAGAUAUCUGGAGGAACACCGGUGGCGAAGGCGGCGUCCUGGACCAAUACUGACACUGAGGAGCGAAAGCCAGGGGAGCAAACGGG